rnacentral:rRNA from 1 species
CCCUUAGAUGUUCUGGGCCGCACGCGCGCUACACUGACGAUGGCAACGAGUUUUUCCUUCGCCGAAAGGUGUGGGUAAUCUUUUGAAACAUCGUCGUGCUGGGGAUAGAUCAUUGCAAUUUUUGAUCUUGAACGAGGAAUUCCUAGUAAGCGCGAGUCAUCAGCUCGCGUUGAUUACGUCCCUGCCCUUUGUACACACCGCCCGUCGCUACUACCGACUGAAUGGUUUAGUGAGGACUCCUGAUUGGCGCCGCCGCCCCGGCAACGGAGCAGCGGACUGCCGAAAAGUUGUUCAAACUUGAUCAUUUAGAGGAAGUAAAAGUCGUAACA